rnacentral:rRNA from 1 species
ACGUAGGUGGCAAGCGUUGUCCGGAUUUAUUGGGCGUAAAGCGAGCGCAGGCGGUUCCUUAAGUCUGAUGUGAAAGCCCCCGGCUCAACCGGGGAGGGUCAUUGGAAACUGGGGAACUUGAGUGCAGAAGAGGAGAGUGGAAUUCCAUGUGUAGCGGUGAAAUGCGUAGAUAUAUGGAGGAACACCAGUGGCGAAGGCGACUCUCUGGUCUGUAACUGACGCUGAGGCUCGAAAGCGUGGGUAGCAAACAG